rnacentral:lncRNA from 1 species
AGAAAAGCUGGAAUGCCGUUAAAACAACACCCUGUCAUCUUUCAAUCAGUCCUUAGCUGAAGUUAAAAUCCCACUCAUUCUGCAUGAUCCAGCCUCUGUAGCAUAGAGUGAGUAGCCCCUUAACAAGAACCAAAAUGGAGGGUACGGAUGAGGCUCAGAUCGUCACCACCUGGAGAAUAGAGACAGUGACUGAGUCACCAGGAAAUCUGUCCCCUGCUCAUCCCAGAAUCCCCGAGCUUUGACUUUUUAAGAGAACAUGUGACAGAUAAUGCCAUCUGAGAAGGAUUGCCUCCUUUACUGUAUGUUUUCCACUGAGAUGAAGAUUUUGGUCAUUUCCUCAUUCAUGUUCCUGCUUUUCAAAACCCAAGCAAGAAAGGAAACUUCUACAGUGACUUUCUCAUUAUGAAAUCUUAGCAUUCACUAGUCGGCCAUAAUGGAAAACCAGCCAAAUGGACACAUAUACACUGGUCUGUACCCGCAGAGAAAGAAAUGCAAAUCUCUGUGAUCAGAAAACUAUCCUAUCUUGUACAUUGUUAAAAGUCUGCCUCCAAAAAGUUUACUUCUGGAAUACUGUAAUUGAAUAGAAUCAGGGAUCCUACCUGUGUCCUUCAACUUUCACAUCUUGUCUACUCAAGUAAGGGUUGAAUUUGCAUGACUAUAUCUAAGGUUCGAGGGCUUACCUGUUGGCAGUAGACCCAGUAGUCUAUGAAUGGAAAUGGGCAAACCUGUGACCUCCCAAAACUUUAAUAUGAAAGUUUUGUUUGUGUAUACUCAUGGCAUUAUUCUUUUAAUAAAGAGAUAAUCUAUAUAGUUUUCUUUUUU